UAGUUCGAUCAUGGCUCAGGAUGAACGCUGGCGGCGUGCCUAAUACAUGCAAGUCGAACGAAACUUCUUUAUCACCGAGUGCUUGCACUCACCGAUAAAGAGUUGAGUGGCGAACGGGUGAGUAACACGUGGGCAACCUGCCCAAAAGAGGGGGAUAACACUUGGAAACAGGUGCUAAUACCGCAUAACCAUAGUUACCGCAUGGUAACUAUGUAAAAGGUGGCUAUGCUACCGCUUUUGGAUGGGCCCGCGGCGCAUUAGCUAGUUGGUGGGGUAAAGGCUUACCAAGGCAAUGAUGCGUAGCCGAACUGAGAGGUUGAUCGGCCACAUUGGGACUGAGACACGGCCCAAACUCCUACGGGAGGCAGCAGUAGGGAAUCUUCCACAAUGGGCGAAAGCCUGAUGGAGCAACGCCGCGUGGGUGAAGAAGGUCUUCGGAUCGUAAAACCCUGUUGUUAGAGAAGAAAGUGCGUGAGAGUAACUGUUCACGUUUCGACGGUAUCUAACCAGAAAGCCACGGCUAACUACGUGCCAGCAGCCGCGGUAAUACGUAGGUGGCAAGCGUUAUCCGGAUUUAUUGGGCGUAAAGGGAACGCAGGCGGUCUUUUAAGUCUGAUGUGAAAGCCUUCGGCUUAACCGGAGUAGUGCAUUGGAAACUGGGAGACUUGAGUGCAGAAGAGGAGAGUGGAACUCCAUGUGUAGCGGUGAAAUGCGUAGAUAUAUGGAAGAACACCAGUGGCGAAAGCGGCUCUCUGGUCUGUAACUGACGCUGAGGUUCGAAAGCGUGGGUAGCAAACAGGAUUAGAUACCCUGGUAGUCCACGCCGUAAACGAUGAAUGCUAAGUGUUGGAGGGUUUCCGCCCUUCAGUGCUGCAGCUAACGCAAUAAGCAUUCCGCCUGGGGAGUACGACCGCAAGGUUGAAACUCAAAGGAAUUGACGGGGGCCCGCACAAGCGGUGGAGCAUGUGGUUUAAUUCGAAGCAACGCGAAGAACCUUACCAGGUCUUGACAUCUUUUGACAAUCCUAGAGAUAGGACUUUCCCUUCGGGGACAAAAUGACAGGUGGUGCAUGGUUGUCGUCAGCUCGUGUCGUGAGAUGUUGGGUUAAGUCCCGCAACGAGCGCAACCCUUAUUGUUAGUUGCCAGCAUUAAGUUGGGCACUCUAGCAAGACUGCCGGUGACAAACCGGAGGAAGGUGGGGAUGACGUCAAAUCAUCAUGCCCCUUAUGACCUGGGCUACACACGUGCUACAAUGGACGGUACAACGAGUCGCAAGACCGCGAGGUUUAGCAAAUCUCUUAAAGCCGUUCUCAGUUCGGAUUGUAGGCUGCAACUCGCCUACAUGAAGUCGGAAUCGCUAGUAAUCGCGGAUCAGCAUGCCGCGGUGAAUACGUUCCCGGGCCUUGUACACACCGCCCGUCACACCAUGAGAGUUUGUAACACCCAAAGCCGGUGGGGUAACCUUUUGGAGCCAGCCGUCUAAGGUGGGAUAGAUGAUUAGGGUGAAGUCGUAACAAGGUAUCC
rnacentral:rRNA from 1 species